GGUGCAGUCUUUGAAGCGGCAGUAGCGCUUGUGGCCCUUGAGCCAGGACAGCACGCCGUGGUUGCGGCAGCGCGCGCACUUCGGCGUGCGCUGCAGGGGCGCCCGCGGCGGCUGCGACACCGGGCCGCCCAUGUACAGGCCCGAUUUGGCGGCACUCGGCCCAAGGCGGCUUUCAUUCCCACACUGGGCCACAGAAACACGGCUCGUGGAGAACCGGAACCUAUCUGAGCGCUGCGGGUGCACUAGGGUCCCGGCGCGAGAAGAGAAGAAAAUGCUUUUGAAAACUUGCUGGUCCAAAGACGACGACCCGUUUUUCAGGCUCCUCCCUCUGUG